AUGCAUCUGCUGAAGCACAAAGUGAAGUCUUGGAAACUACAUCACAAUUUCAAAGAAGAAAACAAAAAUAGACCCGAGCGUGUGAUGUGGGCCGUUAGGAGGUUGGCUGGCUGGACUGGAGGCCACCGUGUUGGAGAACUGGCAGUGCGACUCAGUCCACAGGUGUGGAGGGAUUUUUCUUUAAGGGUCCUCUUCUCAGCACCAAGCACCUGCAACUUAGAGAUAUCAUGACAAACAUCUUUUCCAGCUCCGGUGCACACUGAGUGGAAUGGGAAGUACAUCUCCAGGACUUGCAGGAAGUCAGGGUGCCCAGCCCGAAAAGGAAAACAUCAGGGCGGGAAGAGACAGGUGACUUUCACACUUCUCAGCCAAGCUGGGUCCCAAGAGCCACAGAUUGGAACUUCCGGGGCCUGGGGCUGGAGGGGAGUGGAAGGCUGGCCAGAGGGGCGCUGCCAGGGGAGGGAAGGGAUUCUCCUCAGCCACUUGACUGUCCCCGGGACACUCCCUCCAGGACUGACAGCAGCCAGAACCCAGCCCAACCCAGAAACGUCUCGCCUGUUGCCCAACUCCACAAGCUGCUAGCACUGUGCAAGAACGGAAUAUUUUCUGUAAGGGAGGGCAAAGCAGCACACACACAACUUCGAAAAGCCCAUUUAGCAGCCUGCCCUUUACCUACUCCAUUCCGGUCUUCUCUUUUGAUUUGAAUAUUGAUAAAGUGCCCAUUCUUUCACAUCUUUAUGAUAAUAGUUGCAAAUGAAUACAUCUUUCGACUAGGGGGGCUUUUCAAGCGGUUCAGUGGCAGUAACUUUGCAGGGUGACUUCUCCCGAGGAUCUGGCCUCCUCCCCUUUUAAUGGCGGGACUUUUCAUAAUGUGCACACUACUAUUAAAAUUUCAUAUUAGCAGUGUGUAUGGUGAACUUUGUAAUGGGAAAUUCAAUAGCUGCUGUAAAUAUUAAUGGAAUAUGAAAUGAAGCCACAGCCUCGACCAGGCCUGAC
rnacentral:lncRNA from 1 species